UCCUGACGAGCUGACGCAACAUGCCACGGUUACGAGUCAAAGAGACCAUCUUGGCCUCUAGUCAUUCCAGCUGUAGGUCUCGCGUGCAUCGAUAUCGCAGCUCGCGCUGUGCGGCCCCGUCAUCUUGAGUUUAGCUGCGCGUACUCCCCAGGCGGGGCACUAAUGCGUAGCUACGCACAGAACGAGUGAACCGCCCCCACACCUAGUGCCAACGUUUACGGCAUGGACUACCAGGGUAUCUAAUCCUGUUCGCUCCCCAUGCUUUCGCUCCUCAGCGUCAGUAACUGCCCAGAGACCUGCCUUCGCCAUCGGUGUUCCUCCUGAUAUCUGCGCAUUCCACCGCUACACCAGGAAUUCCAGUCUCCCCUACAGCACUCUAGUCUGCCCGUACCCGAUGCAAGCCCACAGUGAGCCAUGGGAUUUCACACCAGACGCGACAGACCGCCUACGAGCUCUUUACGCCCAAUAAUUCCGGACAACGCUUGCGCCCUACGUAUUACCGCGGCUGCUGGCACGUAGUUAGCCGGCGCUUCUUCUGCAGGUACCGUCACUCUCGCUUCUUCCCUGCUGAAAGAGGUUUACAACCCGAAGGCCGUCAUCCCUCACGUGGCGUCGCUGCAUCAGGCUUUCGCCCAUUGUGCAAUAUUCCCCACUGCUGCCUCCCGUAGGAGUCUGGGCCGUGUCUCAGUCCCAGUGUGGCCGGUCGCCCUCUCAGGCCGGCUACCCGUCGACGCCUUGGUAGGCCAUUACCCCACCAACAAGCUGAUAGGCCGCGAGCCCAUCCCCCACCGAAAAACUUUCCAACACCCACCAUGCGGCAAGUGUUCAUAUCCGGUAUUAGACCUCGUUUCCAAGGCUUAUCCCGAAGUAGGGGGCAGGUUGCUCACGUGUUACUCACCCGUUCGCCACUGAUCCACCCAGCAAGCUGAGCUGCGCCGUUCGACGUGCAAGGUAAUAACAGGAAUGAUAGCG
rnacentral:rRNA from 1 species